rnacentral:rRNA from 1 species
UAGGGAAUUUUCGUCAAUGGCGCAAGCCUGAACGAGCAAUGCCGCGUGAACGAGGAAGGUCUUCGGAUCGUAAAGUUCUGUUGAAGGGGAAAAAGAGCGGAGAGAGGAAAUGGUC